CUCUGUUUCGGACUGGGGGUCGCAAGAUUACCCACCCUUGACAAACUACGAAUACCAUAUGCGGAACUACGGCAGUUAGAACGUGGGGGCUAAGCUCCACGCUCAAAAGGAAAACAGUCCAGAUCGCCAUCUAAGGUCCCUAAAUAUACGCUCAGUGGGAAACGAGGUGAGAUUUCUUAAACAACUAGGAUGUUGGCUUAGAAGCAGCCAUUCAUUUAAAGAGUGCGUAACAGCUCACUAGUCAAGAGAUCUUGCGUGGAAAAUGUAACGGGGCUAAAGCAUAGUACCGAAGAUGAGAGUUCGUAUUUAUACGAGCGGUAGAGGAGCGUUGAUAUCUGCGUUGAAGUCGAACUGCGAGGUUCGGUGGAGUGGUAUCAAGUGAGAAUGUUGGAAUGAGUAACCAUAAGGGCAGUGAGAAUCUGCCCCGCCGAAAGAGCAAGGUUUCCUGGGCCACGAUAAUCGUCCCAGGGUUAGUCGGUCCUAAGCCGAGGCGCGUAGCGUAGGCGAUGGACAACGGGUUAAUAUUCCCGUACUAGUAUUAUAUUGCUACAUGUGCGCGGCAUAUUAGUCGGAGCGGAUUCAUGGUUAUAUCCGUCUAAGUAAGAGAAAAGCUUACGAAUGAAAAUUCCUUUAGGAAUAAUUCCGAUAAAAGUGCUGACUAGAAAAGCAAUGUAGCGCGUGUAUAGUGCUAUCCGUACCGCAAACCAACACAGGUGCUCAGGUCGAGAAGACCAAGGUGUACGAGUGAUUCUUCGUUAAGGAACUCGGCAAACAAGCGGCCGUAACUUCGGAAUAAGGCCUGCCCUCCUCGUGGGGGCCGCAGCUAAGGAGCCCAUGCAACUGUUUACCAAAAACAUAGGUCUCUGCUAACACGAAAGUGGAUGUAUAGGGGCUGACGCCUGCCCGGUGCCGGAAGGUUAAGGGGAGCUGUGUAUGCAGCGAACUGAAGCCCCGGUGAACGGCGGCGGUAACUAUAACCGUCCUAAGGUGAAAUCGUUGCCUUAGUGGAGUGAAAGACUCCCUCCAAUGUUUCCUCAUUCAUGAGGUUUAAGGAGAAAAUUUGGCUAUAUGCUGGAACAUCUGAGAAUCCUGCGCUACUUAAUAUUUAUUUAAUCUUUACAGAGUAAAAUUAGUAAAUAUGAGUGAAAAUGCGACAGGUGCAGACAAUCAGCAGGGAAGAUUAGAUCCGUGGUGGAUCGUUGGGUUUGUUGAUGGCGAAGGAUGUUUCUCGAUAAGUAUCUUCAAGAAUACAACGUCAAAAUCUGGUUACCAGGUGUUUCCAGAAUUUGUUGUAACGCAAGGUGCUAAAAGUCUAACCGUACUCGAAAACUUACAAAUGUUUUUCGGAUGCGGCAAGCUCUAUGAAAAUAGACGUACAGACAACCAUCGGGAAAGUCUUUACAGAUAUUGCGUAAGAUCUAUAGGUGAUAUUCAGAAGAAGAUUAUUCCUUUUUUUGAGACAUAUCCGCUACAAACUGCAAAGCAACAAGAUUUCUUUGUUUUUUGCGAAGUGGUGAAUCUCAUAAAGAACCGGAAUCAUCUAACUGAAGCGGGCUUACAGACCAUACGCGAAUUAGCAGCCACAACCAACCGACGUAAAGUACGAAUCUAAAACCCUCAGAGACUACACGCCAAACCCUGUCUAACAGGGAAGAUAUAGUCCGGACUGUAUGGCGACAUACAGACUGUGCCAGAAAUGAGCACAGCGCUUACAAAUAAGUAAGAAGUAACAAUAUCAAGCGAAAUUCCUUGUCAGGUAAGUUCUGACCUGCACGAAUGGCGUAAUGAUAUGGGUACUGUCUCAACGAAGAGCUCGGUGAAAGUGCAUUGACGGUAAAGAUGCCGUCUGUCCGCAGCAGGACGAGAAGACCCCGUGCAGCUUUACUACAGCUUGGCAUUGAGCCGGGUCAUAAC
rnacentral:rRNA from 1 species